ACACGAUCUCUCCCUUUGGCCUUCACCACGACCAGAACCGAAAAUGGAAAACCAGACUCAGAAAGAAAGAAAUUUCUGAACAGCCCUAAGUUCGAAGAUUGAUUGCGUAAAUUUCUGUAUCACCUGAUUUGGAUUCAAUCAAUCAAUCAAUCAGCAAUGAUAGGAAGAAAAAGAGAAAUCUGUUCCGAUGCUGACCCUGACGCCAAUGAUUCUCUUGUUUGGAAAACAAAGAAGAUCGGCAGGAUCGACUUUUGAUGUUCAAAGGGCAGAACCAUCUCUGCAGCAACCAAUGGAAAGGCCAGCCUUGGACAUGCACCAAGCUGAGUUAUCUAGACAGCAUGUGAGAGUCCUCAAUAACCAAUUUGCGAGGAAAUCUCCUUAUCCCUGACCACCUUUCAUUCUUGUUCCAAAAAGGAAUUUCUUUUAGAGGAGUGGCAAAGGUAGGUUGGUUUGUCUUUCAGUCAUCAUACAGCAAGCGGGUUAUGAAUUUCUCCAUUAUUUAAUGAUGUUUAUAUAUUUCCUAGGAUAUUCGUGACAUGUGGGAUAAAUUUUGGGGGUGCUAAAAACUGCCUCUGUUUAUGGUGAACAGUUGGGUCCAAACACACAAACAGAACCACCCUGAUGAACUUUGGGAAGAUGGAAUCCGAGAUUAUCUGGCCCUUGCAGCAACCAUAAUGUCAUGUUCCUAUAACCUAUAAACAAUUUGUUGAUUUGUGGCUUUCGCUAUUUUUCAGGGCUUUAUGUGGUUAUGACUUGAAAGAUAAUUGGGUUAGAAAUGUGGUUCUAUGUGCACCCCCUUUUCCUUAUUGUCGAGAUAUAUGCAUGGUGGGAUGUAGAUAAAAGAAAUUGGCAUCUAAAUUUGAAGUGCAUUACUUUUCUGUCAACAGAAGCCCUUGCUGUUGCAGCCAAAAUGAGUCAUCCUUCCUAUCUCAACCGCUAUUUAGGUUGCAUUGGAAUGUUAAAUGCUGCAUAUACCCCCAAUAUUUUGACCAGGGAAGGGAAGGUUGUCCUUGGUUUUUCCAAGUUUCAAGUUGUGGAGCAAGAUGUGCUCUAAAUCUCUUUCCGCAUUGUUAUGUAAACCUUUCGUAGAGGAUUCUUCUGCUAAAUUGUGAAUACUUGUAAUAUUGAAAAAGGAAAGUUCUGAAAAACAGGUGUUAUAUGCAUAUUUUGAUCGAUAUUUGCCAUGUACUUCCUUU